UAUAUUUUAAUGUAAAAGAGCAUAAAAAUUUUUGAAGUUUUUAGGAACAGUUCAAUUCUGUUAAGUAUAU
rnacentral:tRNA from 2 species